UGGGGAAUUUUGGACGAAUUGGGCGAAAGCCUGAUCCAGCAAUGCCGCGUGUGUGAAGAAGGCCUUCGGGUUGUAAAGCACUUUUGUCCGGAAAGAAAUCCUUGGCUCUAAUACAGUCGGGGGAUGACGGUACCGGAAGAAUAAGCACCGGCUAACUACGUGCCAGCAGCCGCGGUAAUACGUAGGGUGCAAGCGUUAAUCGGAAUUACUGGGCGUAAAGCGUGCGCAGGCGGUUUGCUAAGACCGAUGUGAAAUCCCCGGGCUCAACCUGGGAACUGCAUUGGUGACUGGCAGGCUAGAGUAUGGCAGAGGGGGGUAGAAUUCCACGUGUAGCAGUGAAAUGCGUAGAGAUGUGGAGGAAUACCGAUGGCGAAGGCAGCCCCCUGGGCAAGUACUGACGCUCAUGCACGAAAGCGU
rnacentral:rRNA from 1 species